rnacentral:rRNA from 1 species
UAGGGAAUCUUCCGCAAUGGACGCAAGUCUGACGGAGCAACGCCGCGUGAGUGAAGAAGGAUUUCGGUUCGUAAAACUCUGUUGUUAGAGAAGAACAGCGCAUAGAGUAACUGUUAUGCGAGUGACGGUAUCUAACCAGAAAGCAACGGCUAACUACGUGCCAGCAGCCGCGGUAAUACGUAGGUGGCAAGCGUUGUCCGGAUUUAUUGGGCGUAAAGCGAGCGCAGGCGGUCGAUUAAGUCUGAUGUGAAAGCCCCCGGCUCAACCGGGGAAGGUCAUUGGAAACUUGUUGACUUGAGUGCAGAAGGGGAGGGUGGAAUUCCGUGUGUAGCAGUGAAAUGCGUAGAUAUAUGGAGGAACACCAGUGGCGAAGGCGACUCUCUGGUCUGUAACUGACGCUGAGGCUCGAAAGCGUGGGUAGCAAACAGG